CGCUGGCGGCAUGCCUAACACAUGCAAGUCGAACGGGGGUAGCAAUACCCUAGUGGCGAACGGGUGAGUAACACAUAAGCAAUCUGCCCUUCACAGGGGGAUAACAGCGGGAAACUGCUGCUAAUACCGCAUAAGACCACGGUACCGCAUGGUACAGGGGUAAAAACGAAUCAGUGGUGAAGGAUGAGCUUAUGUCCCAUUAGCUAGUUGGUGAGAUAACAGCCCACCAAGGCGACGAUGGGUAGCCGACCUGAGAGGGUGAUCGGCCACACUGGAACUGAGACACGGUCCAGACUCCUACGGGAGGCAGCAGUGGGGAAUAUUGGGCAAUGGAGGAAACUCCUUACCCAGCAAUGCCGCGUGAGUGAAGAAGGUCUUCGGAUUGUAAAGCUCUUUGAUUGGGGACGAAUAAAUGACGGUACCCAAAGAACAAGCCCCGGCUAACUAUGUGCCAGCCGCAGC
rnacentral:rRNA from 1 species